UGGCGGCAGUAGCGCGGUGGUCCCACCUGACCCCAUGCCGAACUCAGAAGUGAAACGCCGUAGCGCCGAUGGUAGUGUGGGGUCUCCCCAUGCGAGAGUN
rnacentral:rRNA from 1 species